CAGUCGCCGCGGUAAUACGGAGGGUGCAAGCGUUAUCCGGAUUUAUUGGGUUUAAAGGGUCCGUAGGCGGAUCUGUAAGUCAGUGGUGAAAUCUCACAGCUUAACUGUGAAACUGCCAUUGAUACUGCAGGUCUUGAGUAAAUUUGAAGUGGCUGGAAUAAGUAGUGUAGCGGUGAAAUGCAUAGAUAUUACUUAGAACACCAAUUGCGAAGGCAGGUCACUAAGAUUUAACUGACGCUGAUGGACGAAAGCGUGGGGAGCGAACAGGAUUAGAUACCCCAGUAGUCCCUGUCUCUUAUAC
rnacentral:rRNA from 1 species